rnacentral:rRNA from 1 species
UACGAAGGGGGCUAGCGUUGCUCGGAAUCACUGGGCGUAAAGCGCACGUAGGCGGCUUUUUAAGUCAGAGGUGAAAUCCUGGAGCCCAACUCCAGAACUGCCUUUGAUACUGGAGAGCUUGAGUCCGGGAGAGGUGAGUGGAACUGCGAGUGUAGAGGUGAAAUUCGUAGAUAUUCGCAAGAACACCAGUGGCGAAGGCGGCUCACUGGCCCGGUACUGACGCUGAGGUGCGAAAGCGUGGGGAGCAAACAGG